rnacentral:rRNA from 1 species
CCUACGGGCGGCAGCAGUGAGGAAUAUUGGUCAAUGGACGAGAGUCUGAACCAGCCAAGUAGCGUGAAGGAUGACUGCCCUAUGGGUUGUAAACUUCUUUUAUAUGGGAAUAAAAUGAUCCACGUGUGGGAGUUUGUAUGUACCAUAUGAAUAAGGAUCGGCUAACUCCGUGCCAGCAGCCGCGGUAAUACGGAGGAUCCGAGCGUUAUCCGGAUUUAUUGGGUUUAAAGGGAGCGUAGGUGGAUUGUUAAGUCAGUUGUGAAAGUUUGCGGCUCAACCGUAAAAUUGCAGUUGAAACUGGCAGUCUUGAGUACAGUAGAGGUGGGCGGAAUUCGUGGUGUAGCGGUGAAAUGCUUAGAUAUCACGAAGAACUCCGAUUGCGAAGGCAGCUCACUGGACUGCAACUGACACUGAGGCUCGAAAGUGUGGGUAUCAAACAGGAUUAGAUACCCUAGUAGUC